rnacentral:rRNA from 1 species
AUUGAACGCUGGCGGCAGGCUUAACACAUGCAAGUCGAGCGGAGAUGAGGUACUUGCACCUUAUCUUAGCGGCGGACGGGUGAGUAAUGCUUAGGAAUCUGCCUAUUAGUGGGGGACAACAUUCCGAAAGGAAUGCUAAUACCGCAUACGCCCUACGGGGGAAAGCAGGGGAUCUUCGGACCUUGCGCUAAUAGAUGAGCCUAAGUCGGAUUAGCUAGUUGGUGGGGUAAGGCCUACCAAGGCGACGAUCUGUAGCGGGUCUGAGAGGAUGAUCCGCCACACUGGGACUGAGACACGGCCCAGACUCCUACGGGAGGCAGCAGUGGGGAAUAUUGGACAAUGGGCGGAAGCCUGAUCCAGCCAUGCCGCGUGUGUGAAGAAGGCCUUUUGGUUGUAAAGCACUUUAAGCGAGGAGGAGGCUACCUGGAUUAAUACUCUAGGAUAGUGGACGUUACUCGCAGAAUAAGCACCGGCUAACUCUGUGCCAGCCGCCGCCGUAACAC